rnacentral:rRNA from 1 species
AACGAACGCUGGCGGCAUGCCUAACACAUGCAAGUCGAACGAGACCUUCGGGUCUAGUGGCGCACGGGUGCGUAACGCGUGGGAACAUGCCCUUAGGUUCGGAAUAACUCCACGACAGGGGUGAUAAUGCCGGAUAAUGUCUUCGGCCCAAAGAUUUAUCGCCUUUGGAUGGGCACGCGUUGGAUUAGCUAGUUGGUAGGGUAAAAGCCUACCAAGGCGACGAUCAAUAGCUGGUCUGAGAGGAUGAUCAGCCACACUGGGACUGAGACACGGCCCGGAAUCCUACGGGAUGCAGGAGUGGCGAAUAUUGGAAAAUGGGGGAAAGGCUGAACCAGCUAGGACGCGAGAGUUAUGAAGGCCGUAGGGUAGUAAAGCUCUUUUACCCGGGAUGAUAAUGACAGUACCGGGAGAAUAAGCUCCGGCUAACUCCGUG